rnacentral:rRNA from 1 species
UACGUAGGGGGCAAGCGUUGUCCGGAUUUAUUGGGCGUAAAGAGCGUGUAGGCGGCCGCACAGGUCCGUUGUGAAAACUGGAGGCUCAACCUUCAGACGUCGAUGGAAACCGUGCGGCUAGAGUCCGGAAGAGGAGAGUGGAAUUCCUGGUGUAGCGGUGAAAUGCGCAGAUAUCAGGAAGAACACCCGUGGCGAAGGCGGCUCUCUGGGACGGUACUGACGCUGAGAAGCGAAAGCAUGGGGAGCGAACAGG